rnacentral:rRNA from 1 species
UACAGAGGAGCCAAGCGUUGUCCGGAUUGACUGGGCGUAAAGCGCACGCAGGCGGUUGCGCGCGUGGGGUGUGAAAUCUGGCCGCUUAACGGCCAGGCGCCAUCCCAUACGGCGCGACUGGAGUGAUGCAGAGGUCGAUGGAAUUGCCGGUGUAGUGGUGAAAUGCGUAGAGAUCGGGCAGGAACACCCAGGGGGAAACCAGUCGACUGGGCAUCU